CAGUAGCCGCGGUAACACGAAGGGGGCUAGCGUUGUUCGGAAUUACUGGGCGUAAAGGGCGCGUAGGCGGCCAUUCAAGUUAGAUGUGAAAGCCCUGGGCUCAACCUAGGAAUUGCAUUUGAUACUGUUUGGCUUGAGUUCGUGAGAGGUGAGUGGAAUUCCCAGUGUAGAGGUGAAAUUCGUAGAUAUUGGGAAGAACACCAGUGGCGAAGGCGGCUCACUGGACCGACACUGACGCUGAGGCGCGAAAGCGUGGGGAGCAAACAGGAUUAGAUACCCCAGUAGUCCCUGUCUCUUAUAC
rnacentral:rRNA from 1 species